UACGGGGGGGGGCAAGCGUUGUUCGGAAUUACUGGGCGUAAAGGCUCGUAGGCGGCCAACUAAGUCAGACGUGAAAUCCCUCGGCUUAACCGGGGAACUGCGUCUGAUACUGGAUGGCUUGAGUUCGGGAGAGGGAUGCGGAAUUCCAGGUGUAGCGGUGAAAUUCGUAGAUAUUCGGAAGAACACCAGUGGCGAAGGCGGCUCACUGGCCCGGUACUGACGCUGAUGUGCGAAAGCGUGGGGAGCAAACAGG
rnacentral:rRNA from 1 species